AACCAUAGAAACCUGCGGAGUACCUGCGGAAGGAUCAUUACAGAGUUGCAAAACUCCCUAAACCAUUGUGAACGUUACCUAAACCGUUGCUUCGGCGGGCGGCCCGGAUCCUUCCCGGCGCCCCUCGGCCCUCGCGGGCGCCCGCCGGAGGUAAACCAAACUAUUGCAUUGUAUGGCCUCUCUGAGUCUUCUGUACUGAAUAAGUCAAAACUUUUAACAACGGAUCUCAGAUCGGAAGAG
rnacentral:misc_RNA from 1 species